rnacentral:rRNA from 1 species
AAGCGCUUGUGACCAGACUUGCGCCCGGCUGAUCAUCCGGUGUUCUCACCGGUGCACUCUGCCGGGCUCAGGCCAGCAUCGGUUCUCGCGGGGGGAUAAAGGCCCUGGGAACGUAGCUCCUCCGGGAGUGUUAUAGCCCAGGGCGUCAUGCCCCCGCGGGGACCGAGGUUCGCGCAUCUGCAAGGAUGCUGGCGUAAUGGUCAUCAGCGA